GAGACUCUAGUAAAUUAAUUACAUCACCUUGUCAAGGUGAAAUUGUGGGUGAAAGUCCCACGAAUCUUG
rnacentral:tRNA from 1 species